GCUCGCUUGGGUGAAUGGGUUUCAGGGUGGCUGAGGAAGCCGGCCAAAGAGGCAGAGUGAAAAGGCCAGGCCCCGGGUGGCGCUGCGCACGGUUUCCAUGGCGACGCCAGCUGCUGCCUGGCCCGGCUCGCUGGCUCCUUCCGCGGGGCCUCGGCUGCCUCCACGUGGUUACCCGGCUCGCUGAGGAGGAAAGAUCUGACAGGUCGCCUUGGCCCGAGUUCCUUUUACUAGCCGUGUCAGGGUGGAGCCCCGUUUCCUGCACCAUAAGACAGGUCUACCUGUGAGGGCAUCGGUUUGCAGCCACCCCUCGUUUUAAUUCUCGCAUUUGAAAGCAUGCCUGGACCCAAUCGUUGGAGAUGCAGUCCUCUACCUCUGAAAGGCCUUCCUGCUUAAGGGGAGCAGCUUUGUGGCUGCAGAGGGCAGAACCAGACGGUGAGAGGCACAGGGAUGGAGAGUCUAGCUCAGCACAACAAGGAAGAGAUUGCUAAUAACCGGAGCUUUUUCACAGGGAUGAGCCUCCCAUCACUGGAUGUAUUCAAGCGGAGGCUGACAGGAUGCUGGGGUAUCCCCAACCCAGGAGCCAGUCAGAAAGGAGACUGAGUUCCUGCGAUUGUGAACACUCCUUUUCUGUAGCCUCCCUGCAUCUCAGGAGGACAGCAGCCGCCUCCCACAGCUGCUCAAAAACCCCUCUGCCGGCUGCCUAAAGACUACGGGACUAAGUCACAGCUAAGCCGGCCCUGCUUGCUCUGGAUUUAAGAGUCUCUGUUUCCUCUCUGCCCAUGGCCAGGAGAGGAGCAAACCCCAGCGUGGGCCGAGCAGUGGGCUGGGCUGAUGCUGCGCAGGCCGGUCCAAGCCCUCCCCGCUUUUCAGGAAAGGGCGCCCUCACGUCCGUGGGGCUACUGCAGCCAGGCACGGUUGCCUGAAACUCGUCCACUCACAGUCCAGACUCCUGCAGGGACACUCCAGGGGCAUCAUGGAUAUGAGGAAAGGGCUCUCCUGCCUAAGCUAUCAGGCCAACCCCAGCUCCCCGACCUCUUCCCAGCAGAGACGCAGCUGCCCCUAGACGGACAGAACUGUACCCGGGGAGUCCUCAGGGACCCGGACCCACACAGGCCAAGACACAGGCUGCCUGGUCCCAGCUGCGGCGGAGAGUGGGCUAACACUUCCAGAAGGCUCUGAACUCUGGCAGGUGUGAUUGCUUUGCUCCAGGACUGGUCUCAGCUGCUGCAGUGGAUCCCUCUGAGCUGCUGGAGGGUAGAGAGUUGGCAUCUGGUGCCACUCUAGGGGGGCCGGGGUGUUGUGCUUGUAGGAAGAACAAGGUCCGUCCUGGCCUGAAGGAGCUGUCCUUUGCUGAUAGGACUGCAAACUCCUCUGUUAUCAAAAUGAUGAUGAUGACGACGACAAUAGAAAAGGCAGGAGGGAGGGUCAGCUGCUGAGCUGUGGCCCCACUGGAGCUGCCCAGACUUUCCAGUGGCCGCCAUGGAGGGGGAGGGUCUAGCUGUCAUGAGCUCCCCGCCUGCCUUGGCUGUGGCCCUACACCUGGGGGCCAGUGUGGAGACAGCAGGUUAGCAUUCCUGACCCCUCAGAUGUGGAGACCCAGCUGGGAGCUGAGGGACGGGUGGGGGGCUGGCAGGGGCCGCCCUGCAGGGGUGGGGCGGGCCCGGAGGCCUCCUAGCACUUCUAGCCAGCUGACCCUGUUAUUUUUAGCUCUGGAAUGCUCCUCUCCGAGCCCCCUUCAGUUCUAUUUAUCUUGGUUUUGUGUCUCUCUCUGUUCCUCUCCAGGAAACUCUGCAGCCGGAGUGGGAUAAAUGGAGGGGAGGGGGAGGAGAUUCGGGGGGCCAGAAAGAAUAGGAGAAAUGGGCUGGGGCCAGGCUGGAGGAAGAAGUGGCCACUGCUCCACCCCGCCCCUCCCCCAGGUCCAGAGGCUGCCUCUUUCUCUUUUCUGCAUUUCUUGGGUUUGGGCCACCAGGCAACCCCUCCGCCUUCUCCACCACCCCUGAUAAGCCCCCCUUUGUUCUUGUCAGCAUCCCUGUCCCAGUCCAGGCCUUGGACAGCCCCAUCCUCUCACCUUCUCUCCUGGGCCCUCAGGUGAGGUCAUAUCUAGGGUGGGGGUGGGGAGCGUCAGCCCCUGACCCCUGCCUCUCGGUCAGGAUGCACUGUGAUCCCUUGAAGGACCUCCUCUGUGAAAAUGAAGAACAGGCGCGGUGGGACUGGGGACUGGGUGAACCCGGACCUCAGUCACAUUCUCUGUAAAAUGGGAAUGACAACCGGUCCUCUCUCUGAGGGGCCUGUCGUCAGGGCUGCAUGAAAUGGUGGAUGUGAAGCACUAUUGACACGGGAAAGCUGCGAGCCUCCGGUUUGGGGUCGGUCACAUCCCAUGGGGUGCUUACGGGGACUGGUGAGCAUGAGUCUCCUGGAGGCUUUUUAGCAGCACUUGGCAGGAAGCCACAUCCCUCCCCGCAGCCUUCCUUAGUCACCGCCUGGCUGCUGAAGCUCUGGUUACAAGGGCGGAUCACUCAACCACCGGCUCCUCUCCCGCCUCCCCCAGCGCAGGGGUGCUGGUCUGCAAGAUGCUGGGGAUGAGGGGCACCUGUUGGCUGCCUGAGGCGGGGGCGGGGUGGAGGGGGGCUUCCAGAUG